AAGAGUAUAACUUAAUGGUAAAGUAUAUGUCUUCAACACAUAAAAUAGUAGUUCGAUUCUACUUACUCUUG
rnacentral:tRNA from 1 species